UUUGUGUUUUUUUUUUCCCCCCUGGAAGUUGGUGUCCAUUAUUGAUUAGAGGAAAACAAAUGUAAUCUAUUUCUAAAUCUGUAAUGAGUGUCUGCAAAUUGAUCCCAUUUCCAUCUCACUUCAGCAGUCUGAUUUCUGUUCUCUGCUACCACAUCCACAAAACCUACUGAAGUGAAUGGAUCUCGUGGUCUCGUGUGCCUUCCGAUGGGUAUAAUGGUGUGCUAAAGCAGCGCUGACUUUCACAUAGUACUAAAUCAGUGAUUUGUGAAGGAACAAAGACCAGAUAGCUGAAUUUACCAUGGGCGGAGAGGAUCUGCAAAGUGGCCCGGGCAGGGAGGCGCUGCACUGUAUUCCUGUAAGGGAGAUUUGCAAGAGUAACUGUCCCACUGAGGCAGACAAGCGACGUCUGCAGCCCUGGCAAUCCUGACACCAACAGCACGGCAUUCAUGUUAUUCUUAAUCUUGAGAGCUGCUUCUUUCUCUUCUCUGAUGGGUGCUUAGAGGGAAGGAAGAAAAAGUUUCUGAAGACUUUCAAAAAUUGAGCUAAUUCCCCCUUCAGUAUAGAUGGGGAAAUGAGAUGCUGCCAGUUGCUGGUAAAUGGCUAACUUGAUCCAGUACUUUGUUGUGUUGUGAACUGAAAGGCUUCUACAAGUUCAGGAUUAUUUGGACUUGAUAAAAACAGAUGAGGUGGAAGGCAGUUCACAAAGUGGGAAUGCAUAUUUCAUGGAGCCUGUGGCAUUUGGAGAGAAGGCACCUUUGUAUAUGGUACAAUCUGGGGACAGAGAUUGGGGACAGCAGAAAACUUGAUUGAAAACAAAUGGAUGAUAUGCCACAAAAACAUACAUAUUUUUUUAUUCGCCUUUCACCACUUAAAAAAUGCAAAAACUGUUAAUGCUUAUUAUUGUACAGAAGUGUUGGAGGGAUGGUUGAGUAGAGUUCUUGUGGCACACGAUUGAUUUCUAGAAUACUGAAAAGAAACUUCUGCAGGACAGCCAUUGCUGUUGAGCCACAACUUUCUACUUGUCGGCUCCAGCCUGACUUUGGUCCUCAUAUUCCAGGGGAAUACAGCUAGACAGCACAAACCACGUUGUAUUCCUUACUCUUUAGAUUCCCCUCACCCCAUGCCCCAGUGUUUUUCUCUCGCUAUUUUUGGAUUACUGUUGUCCUUGUCUCCUUAGCGCUCUUCUGGGUAACAAUCACUUGGUUUCCUAUGAAGUUCGGCUGAGAAAUACUGCAGGACAAGACCCAGUUGCACCUAUCAUGGCAAAAGAGCUAUGGUUCUUCAAGAUGAAAAAUAGCUGCUCUGAUGAAGCCAAGCAUAAAAGCAUAAGGUAUGCAAGGAGUUAGAACUAAACAUAGAUCUUAAAAUUGCUGAUGUCUGUAAACACUGUUCUGCAACAGUUUUUAAUGUGUGGAGUGAUGCGUGCUGAAGAUCAUGAAUUGAUCAAAUUAUGGCAAAGAGUGCAAGAUGACAGCACAAACCAGAGAAUGGCAGGAGUGCCUAGUUUGUACUAGUUAUCUCUGGUCUGACAGCGCUUUCUAUCAUAAAUCUGUUUGUUUUAUAACUAGGCCAUAAAACCUUACUUCAGGCUGAAAUGUAGCACGAUGUGCUGUAGUUCAAAAAUUGUGCUUUUAUAGAAGAACACAUCAGUAAUUUGUAAAUUAAAAUUGCAGCACUCUGAAAUUAUUUCUUUUGCACUCUUACAACUUGUGCUUUUUGGACUGGAUUUAUGUUCCAUAUAAAUCCGUGUGAUCGAUCCUAUUUAAAACUUGUUCUCCCCUUGGUUUCAUCAAAUUCCUUUUGCAGUGAGUUUUAUAUGUACAAGUGUGACUUACUCUUUGCGAUACUCCCUCCUACCUUUUGCAAUUAGAUGGGGGAACUUGCUGAAACUUCACAGGAGGUUAAUGAGACUCAAGUGAGUUUGGGGUGUGUUUUGUUUAAAAAACUGGAUGUGUGUAAGGGUCAGAACACCACAAUAGUUGUUACUAACAGAAACUGAAGAAGAAAUAUUUUCAGUCCUUAGCAACUCUGUUGGAAGCUAGGAGAUUCAGUGUCAGCUUACCCCGUGGUUCUUCUUCACAUUCUUAACGCUUCAUCUGAUCUACUUGGUAUCGACCAGUCUUGCAGACUGGAAACGAGCACGGGGAGCACAACAGAGUCUGAUCAGCAGUUUAUUUAAGAAUUACUUCCAUGUACCACUGGAAUGCCACCACUUCUGGAGUAAGACAGACCAGCAAUGUACAGAACCUGAAGAAGUGUGUCUUGGCCAACUGAAACGACAGGGGAACUGAAAUGGUGUGCUGUGGAAGGUAUUUAUGUUGUCUGGAAUAUUUGAUUUGGUUUGUUAUUUUCCUGGGAGAAUUCAUGAUGAAAUCUGGCAGUACAUCACGGCAUUUAUCAUCAGUGUUUUGUUAUAAUUUGUAGAAAUUCUCACAAAUUGGAAUUUAGUGUUGACAUUUUAUACUGUAAUUUGUUCAGGGAAUUCUACGUGCCCAGGACAAAUGCAGAUUCCUGAAUGAUCCUUGUCAGUAUUCAGGAGAAAACCAAAGCAGUCCUGUUCUUUGAUAGAUGAGCUAACCUGUCACUUCAGCCUUGCUUCCCUUGCCCCUGAAAGGCAUCUUGAAUUAGUCAGUGAACCAGACUUAAGUAAGAUCACUAUAUUUGAAACAGAAAAUUCAAGCAAAUACUUCUUAGUGAACGGGAUUCGUGAAAAGGUGAUGAAAUGUUACACGGAUGCCAUAGUUCCAGACUGCCAGUACCAGCUCCGUGCGUUGCUGGGUCACCUAACAGUGCCAGUGCCAUCAGGACUAGGUGUGGGCACAUAACCACAUUUUUCUGAAAGGCCAGAGUGCUAGGCCUAGUAAUGGAUAGACAGGUGAUACUUAAGUCAGCAUAAAGAUUGCUGAUGUAAGACAAAUAUGCAUGAAUUUCUACAGGAUCAGAACUUCGCAGUGUGUGGCUAACAUGAGUUUAGUCCAGUACCAGAAGUCCUGAAAACUGUUUCCCUGUAUCACUGAUCCAUGAGGGGAAACCUUAACCAGCACCUUGGCUCUGAGUCCCGAGUACGGCUGGAGGCACAGCACAGCUGUAAGAGGUACACGAGUUGCUGCUUUAUGAAACAGCGUGAAGGGGUCACACAGCUUCCACUGACAGAAUCUGUGUGCUGCUUCUACACCUUGGAGCCCACACCCAUGCCCAACAUGGACAAUUAUAGGUCUGAUCAUCUAUUCUGUGGGUUCAGGUUCUGGGUGGGUUUUUUUGGUGGGGAUUAUUUAGGAAGUUAGUUACUGGAAGAUUGGGAUUCAUGUGACAGAGAUACAACAAUCUGAAUUUGAGUUGUGUAGAAAGCUCAUUUUAGAAACUAGUCACUGUGUGAAUUCCAUCCCUCUAUUAACUGGGGGGAAACUUUAAAAACAAAUUAAAAGUAAUGUUUUCCAGCACUCCUUUUUUCAGAUUAAUUUCAUGCCAAUUAUUGCAUUACUUUUAGCUGAUAAAUAUUCGGAGACUAAAAGAAACCAACAAGAUGGAUUAAUUCUCCCACACUACAAACAAAAUUUUUAAAUAUUUUAUAUAAUGUAAUUAAAUGCUGUUUGUUGUUUUUGGAAUCAGAUCCUGGGACAUGUUAAUUAAUUGCUUUAAGAGGACUGAAGACAUGUUGCAGAGAAAAAAAUUUAAAAGAUUCAGAUAUUUAUCUGUAACGUUCAACCUUGUUGGCUAAUAAUGGUUCCAAAA